rnacentral:lncRNA from 1 species
CCGGGCUGCUCUCGGUCGCCUCCUCGCCGCGGGCCGCCCCGGGUGCAUCCCGGCUUGCUCCGCUCCACGCGACCCAGAUUCCCGCCCCGCCCCCGCCCCCGCCCCUCCCGCGCCCGCAGCCAGUGCGGCAGCCGCGGCCACCCCGGUCCAGCCUCGGCGCCGGGGACGGACCGCGUCGAUCGCCGCCGCGCAGCGCGGAGCCGGAGCGCCUGGGGAAGGCGGAGAUGGAGACCCGACUGCCGCGUGCCAGCACCUGCUGAGCUCUCUGCGGCCGCCGGAGUGCAGCUUACGCUUACUUUGCUAAAGGCAAAUUUGGAAGCAAUUACUUGAGAACAGUUUGGAUAAGAUCUGGAUAAUCAAAACAGGCACAAUGAAGCACUUCCUGAGGAUUUCUUCAAGCAAGAAUUAACUUACAUUAGCAAAUUCAUUGAGACUGUUCAAAAUAAGCCACUUUUCUCUAUUAUUCCAAAAGAAGACAGCAGUCACAAAGUUAAGAUGAUGGAGUAGAGUUGCACCACAGGUAUAUUUGAGAUGCCUCCACUCAAGGCAUGCCAUCAGAAACAUAAGGACAUAAAGGAGAUUAAAAGGAGGAAAGGUACUAUGAUCCAAAAGUGCUUAAACUCAGGUAAGAAACAGGCACACCUUCCUACCUGCCUGCCUUCCUUCCUUCCUUCUUCCCUUCCUCCCUUCCUUCCUUCUUAUCUUUCUUUUUCCGUCAACCAACCACUGAUUAGCUUAAAAGCAUUUAAAGACCCAUUUCUUAAUUUCUUCCUUUUCAGGAUAAAUAUGCCAAACCAAUUUAACAUUCCCCCCAAACGUUUCACCAUGCUUAUUGUUCUCUGGACCUUCAGCAGUUUUUCCAUAACCUUUACGAUUUGGAGACUUAAGCAGGCCCAAAAAUUUAAGAAGUGAGCUCCUGGCAGCACUUGAUGGUGAAGAACAGCCAUCCUGAGAUGCUCAAAUGGAGGUUUUGCUGACCUGGUCCUUUCAUGAGGAAGCGAGUUGGGUAUUAUUUCUGUCAUCAAAAUAAGGCUUCCAAAGUAAGGGGUAGCACUGGUGUUUCAAUCUCUGACCAUCCCUUAAGUUUAUGAUCUAAACACAAGAUAAAUUAUGUCUGUCAAAAUGUUGUUUGAUCUGAUGAUCUGGCUUAAAAAAAUAUAGCACCUAACACAGCAAGAAAAUAUAUGGCCUAGCAUAGCAAGUUGACCUUUUAAUGAAAUAUUUAUGGGCAUGGUCAUCCAUUAGAAAAACAAGGAAAACAAUAAAAAUAUAUGCUUGGUAAUAAAUAGCAUUAUCAGAACUACAGGCCCAGAAAUUAUGAAAGGGUAAGGAAACAGUGUAUAAAUUUCAUUUCACAAUUGAAAUGGGCAUGUCUCUUUCACGAUUUGUGAUGCUGUUUCUGUGAUUAGGUGAGACAGAUGUGAUACACCUCACAGAGUGGGGAGCCCUAAGAAAUGAUGCAUCCUCCCUAAGCCCUCACUGUGGAUUUCUGCUGGGUUUCCCUGUCUUUGACAGUGUGAAAAUCCUCAGGGGAGUUGAAAAAAAAGAUAAAAGCAAAUAGAACAUGAUGUCUUUUCUCCCUCUUAUGUAAGACUGUCUUGAUGAAAACAGUUCCCCAGGCAUUUUCUUCUCAUAUGCAAGGAGGCCAAUGGGAGAAAUUACAGACGGGCUAUAAGCCACUCUCCCUCUGGACACUUCCUGCCACCUAGAGUGACACCUCUCCAUCUCAAGUCACAUCUUUGUGUAGAUCUAACAGAGAGGUUGCACCAGGGAAACUUUCUAUGGUUUGAUCUGAGCUAUAAUAUGAUCUGCUGGCUUGUACCCUAAGUAGGGCGAGUACAAAGAUGCUCCUUAAGCAAUAAUCAGAGCUCUUUUCUCUGGGAAGAUUUAGUGUCACAAGAACUUGAUUAUCAUGGAGUCCUGAUUCACAGACUUAAAAGAGGCUUCAUUUGAGGAAGUGGCCCACAUGCUAGACAAACUUUACUGGAAUAAGUAAUAGAAUAGAAUAAGUCAAACUUCACUUGACUUAGUAAUAAGAACAAUGCCAACCAGUAAUUAAUAUCAUUAUCACUUUGCUGGUGACCAGUUAACCAAUAUAUUGCUCAAUCUUUUUUUUUUUUUUUUUUUUGGCAUAGCUAUCCAAUAAUUGGAAAACUGGAAAACCUUUUCCAAGAG